CCAAAACAGGCAGGAUCCCCAGUGGUCUCAGUAUCUGGAUCAAUAAGUGACAUGGUGUUUUGACUCCUUGGUCUAGAUUCUAAUCAGUCCGCAGUUAUUCAGGAGCUCAGUGCAGUCAAGUUCAUGUCCGACUUGCCCCCUCCCCAUUCCUGGGCCCUACCCUGGCUGCAUGGAAUGAAUGAGUGAGCAAAUGAAUGAAUGAGUGACCAGCAGCCAAACUUGGGUCACUCUCUCCUGUGACAGAAUCUAAAUGUCAGUCCGGUUCUGCUCACAGGGGAACGGGCCAGCUGACACAGCCCAGGCCAGCAGGCAGGAGAAGCCCACGUUGAGCCCAUUUUUUCCAGGAACAAUCAUUAUUGAUCUUCACUUACAGAUGCAGCACAGGUAUCUCUGUGCCAACUCUGCACCAGUGACAACUAACCCCCAAAACUCACUCUCACAAAACCAGAGCCAGUAGUUCUUGGAGACACAAGCACGCACUUUAAUUAGUAGUUUAAAAGCAUUUGUCUUGUGAAAUAUAAUAAAUCCACAGGAAAAUCUGUAAAAUAUACAUGUAACAGUUUAAUGGCAUUUAAAUGAGCAUGUGUAUACCUGCCCUGAGUCAAGAGACAGAACGUGGCCGGACUCGAGGUCGCAGCAUCGUCUCCCUCCUGACAAAGGCUCUGCUGACCUCACUUGAAACCACUUCCUCGUGUUUAUUUCUACUCCCAUCACCCAGGCACAAACCCCUAAGCGUUUUAGUUUGGCUUUGCCUGUUUUUGAACUUUGUAUAAAUGGAACCAUAGGGCAUGAUUGCUCUGUGGCUGCUUUCAUUCCACUUGAUGUCUGUGAAAUUCGUCCCUGUUGUUGUUGUGUCUGUAGUGCAUUCACUUUCAUUGCUAGAUACUAAGCCAUUGUGUGAAUAUGCUACAACCUAUUUAUCCAUUUUCCUGAGAGCGAGGAUUUGCUUCUUUCCAGUUCGGGAUAUUAUGGACAAAGCUAGUGUGAACUUUCCCAUGUGUGUCCUGGGCAUGCACACAGAGUGCACGUGGACAGCUGAGCAGAAGCUCAUUGGACAGAAGCAGAAGGGACGAGAAUACAUGUCUCAGAUCGGGGCCAGCUCAGCCCCAGCUGCCGUCUCGGGGGGCAGGCUUUGGCCGGUGGGUGUCUGUUGCAGCUGCGAACCGGGGAGACUGUAUUUGGUCUCAGAGGGUGAGGCACUGCCUUUUGAUGGGCCAUCCCCACUUGGAGGGGCCUGAUGAUCAGAGCUGGCCUUCUACAGUAUAACAGCUGACCUUUAAAUAACUGCAGUGGUCACUUUUAUGUGGCAACUUGGCUGGGCCACAGGGUGCCCUGAUAUUUGGCUAAACAUUGUUUCUGGGUGGGUCUGUGAGGGUGUUUGCAGAUGAGACGAGCGUUUGAAUCGGUGGACUCAGUAAAGCAGAGGCCCUCCCCAACGUGGUUGGGCCUCAUCCAAUCCGCUGGGGGCCUGAGCAGAACAAAAGGUGGAGGAAGGGAGCAUUCUGGGACAUCAGGCUGCGGCACCAGGACUGGGACUGACACGGCCGCCUCCUCUGGGUCUCCACCUCGUGGACAGCAGAUUGUGGGACUUCUCAGCCUCCAUAACCGCCUGAGCCAAUUUCUUAAAAUAAAUCUUCUUUCUCUGUC
ensembl:lncRNA